rnacentral:snRNA from 1 species
AUCGCUUCUCGGCCUUUUGGCUAAGAUCAAGUGUAGUAAAAAUCUGAGUUACAGGGUAACCCACCAACAUUAUAAAUCACCUACCUACUUAAUAUUCUAUGUUCAUUUUGCUUUAUUACCCUGU